ACUCCUACGGGAGGCAGCAGUGGGGAAUAUUGCACAAUGGGCGCAAGCCUGAUGCAGCCAUGCCGCGUGUAUGAAGAAGGCCUUCGGGUUGUAAAGUACUUUCAGCAGUGAGGAAGGUGGAUAUGUUAAUAGCAUAUUCAUUUGACGUUAGCUGCAGAAGAAGCACCGGCUAACUCCGUGCCAGCAGCCGCGGUAAUACGGAGGGUGCGAGCGUUAAUCGGAAUUACUGGGCGUAAAGCGCAUGCAGGUGGUUUGUUAAGUCAGAUGUGAAAGCCCGGGGCUCAACCUCGGAAUUGCAUUUGAAACUGGCAAACUAGAGUACUGUAGAGGGGGGUAGAAUUUCAGGUGUAGCGGUGAAAUGCGUAGAGAUCUGAAGGAAUACCGGUGGCGAAGGCGGCCCCCUGGACAGAUACUGACACUCAGAUGCGAAAGCGUGGGGAGCAAACAGGAUUAGAUACCCCGGUAGGCUCUGC
rnacentral:rRNA from 1 species